AGAGUUUGAUCUGGCUCGAGACGACGCUGGCGGCGUGCUUAACACAUGCAAGUCGACGGAAAGGCCCCUGCUUGCAGGGGUACUCGAGUGGCGAACGGGUGAGUAACACGUGGGUGAUCUGCCCUUCACUUCGGGAUAAGCCUGGGAAACUAGGUCUAAUACCGGAUAGGACCAAUCUUUAGUGUGGUUGGUGGAAAGUUUUUUCGGUGGAGGAUGAGCCCGCGGCCUAUCAGCUUGUUGUGGGGGUAAUGGCCUACCAAGGCGACGACGGGUAGCCGGCCUGAGAGGGUGACGGCCACAUUGGGACUGAGACACGGCCCAGACUCCUACGGGAGGCAGCAGUGGGGAAUAUUGCACAAUGGGCGGAAGCCUGAUGCAGCGACGCCGCGUGAGGGAUGACGGCCUUCGGGUUGUAAACCUCUUUCGCUAGGGAAGAAGCCUUCGGGUGACGGUACCUGGAUAAGAAGCACCGGCUAACUACGUG
rnacentral:rRNA from 1 species